UACGUAGGGACCAAGCGUUGUUCGGAUUUACUGGGCGUAAAGGGCGCGUAGGCGGGCUGCCAAGUCUGGGGUGAAAUCCCACGGCUCAACCGUGGAACUGCCUCGGAUACUGGCGGCCUCGAGGGAGGUAGGGGCGUGCGGAACUGUGGGUGGAGCGGUGAAAUGCGUUGAUAUCCACAGGAACUCCGGUGGCGAAGGCGGCACGCUGGACCUUUUCUGACGCUGAGGCGCGAAAGCCAGGGGAGCAAACGGG
rnacentral:rRNA from 1 species